CUUGCAGAUAAAGUUGUUCUUUCGAAGAAAAAUAUAUAUGUGCAUGUUUGGCCUUCAAAUUUAUGACAGGAUAGGAGCUAUAAGGAUGAUUUAAUGAGAAUAACGAAGCUAAAUAUGAACAACACAAUGACAUGCUUAAGGCUGUCUAUUCCCUACUAGCCUAAAUCCUGAGAUUCUUGAAGGUAUCCUUGGAUCAGUUGGUGGAGUUAUGGCUUUUGUAACUCUUCAUCAGAUGCUGCCACUGGCUUUUAAGUACGCGGGACAAAAACAAUUUGUUAAGAUCAUAUUUUGUGGAACGACUUUCAUGUCUGCAAGUACAACGCUACAAGGUCUUAACAUUUAGUAUUGGUGGAUGUGCAACCUGUAUUUUCUACGUAUCAGCUUAGCAGAGGACGUGUAGAUGGGAAGUAUCUCUGUUGUUAACAUUUGUAAUAUUGGCUGUGAAAACAAAUGACUUAUUUUUUUUUUAUAAAAAAAAACACUUCCUAAAACGAUUCUGUCAAAAUUAUAUUAAAAUGUAUUACAUUUUAAGAUGAGUAGGAACCGUUAUCGUAGAUGCGUCAAUAUUGUACGACGUCCACUAUGAUGAUAACGGUUAAAAACCAACGUCAUGUAUGCUUCAUAUCCGACGUAAAAUUGCUGUUACAUGGAGGUGUCAUCAUCCUUAUAGAGAUUACUUAAAGUUUCUGCUACUAGAAACAUUACAAAUAGCAUAUUAAUUAAUGCUAAAGAUUGAUGCUAAUAAUGAGUUUAUAAAUAACAAUUAUUUUUAUAUAUGAAGACUGGAAGAGACACCAAACUGAUAUAUUAUAUUACAUGUAUGAAAUGAAAUUAGUAAUAGUUAGCUCAAUCAAUCUUCACCAUCCAUCCGUUAUUAUCCUCUAAAAGACCCGUAUGGAUUCCUGUAAUCAUAUCAAACAACUUCUGGGUCACAGUGUCGGCUCCUGUUUUGAACUCAACCCUGCACUACCCAAUUGUUUUACACUAUUAAUAGCAGUAAUUUAUUAUUAAUUGUAAUAAAGUAUAAAUUAAUAUUACAAACUACAAAGCUACGAAAAUUAAUGAUCGAAUCAAGAUUUUGAAUUCUAUUGUACCUUGUAUUCUUAUAGGUUGCACUUCCAACCGCAGAGAUCCCAACAGCAGUUCCAGUACAGAAAACCUCAUCAGCUUCUAGAAAUUCAUCAACCGAAAAUUUGCGUUCCUCGGCCUUGGCAAAAUUAACGGCCAAUUUUUUUUGAAGAAUAGUUCCGAGUGUAGGUGAAGUUGAAAUCACGUCACCCUAAAAUAUGCAGAGGUGCCAUGCAUGCAUAUUAACAAGCAAAUAUAUACAUAUGUAAUAUAUGUUGAAGGAAAGUUGUAAAAUUGGCAAAGUAACAAAAUAUUAAUUACCUUGACCAUGAAAACAUUGCACGAAGAUACCUCUUCAAUAUAUUUAUGUUCCUCUGCAUCUAGGAAGAGGACGUCAAAAAAUCCUUUGGCUUUUGCUUCUUUCGUCACUUGGAAAACCUGCGUUAAUUUAGUCACUCAACUUCAUCAUUUAAUUGAGUUAAUUUGUGUAGCUAGGUACCUUAAUUAAUACCGAUUUAAAGUACUAUAUAUGUUUGAAUUAGAGUGCGUGUGGCUAUUUAUAUAAACUUACUGGUGCAUAAUUGCCUAUAUUUUUCACUCCUCCAGUCCCACCGGGAAAUGCACGAGGAAGUGUAUCUUCAAUCAACAAGCUCAAGGUUGAAUUAGUAUGUCGUCCCU